AGUGAACGCUGGCGGUAGGCCUAACACAUGCAAGUCGAACGGCAGCACAGUAAGAGCUUGCUCUUACGGGUGGCGAGUGGCGGACGGGUGAGGAAUACAUCGGAAUCUACUUUUUCGUGGGGGAUAACGUAGGGAAACUUACGCUAAUACCGCAUACGACCUACGGGGGAAAGCAUGGGAUCUUCGGACCUUGCGCGAUUGAAUGAGCCGAUGUCGGAUUAGCUAGUUGGCGGGGUAAAGGCCCACCAAGGCGACGAUCCGUAGCUGGUCUGAGAGGAUGAUCAGCCACACUGGAACUGAGACACGGUCCAGACUCCUACGGGAGGCAGCAGUGGGGAAUAUUGGACAAUGGGCGCAAGCCUGAUCCAGCCAUACCGCGUGGGUGAAGAAGGCCUUCGGGUUGUAAAGCCCUUUUGUUGGGAAAGAAAAGCAGCAGGUUAAUACCCCGCUGUUCUGACGGUACCCAAAGAAUAAGCACCGGCUAACUUCGUG
rnacentral:rRNA from 1 species